GAUGAAGAACGCAGCGAAACGCGAUAGUUAAUGUGAAUUGCAGAAUUCAGUGAAUCAUCGAAUCUUUGAACGCACAUUGCGCCCGCCAGUAUUCUGGCGGGCAUGCCUGUCCGAGCGUCAUUUCAACCCUCGAACCCCUCCGGGGGGUCGGCGUUGGGGACCUCGGGAGCCCCUAAGACGGGAUCCCGGCCCCGAAAUACAGUGGCGGUCUCGCCGCAGCCUCUCCUGCGCAGUAGUUUGCACAACUCGCACCGGGAGCGCGGCGCGUCCACGUCCGUAAAACACCCAACUUCUGAAAUGUUGACCUCGGAUCAGGUAGGAAUACCCGCUGAACUUAAGCAUAUCAAUAAGCGGAGGA
rnacentral:misc_RNA from 1 species